rnacentral:rRNA from 1 species
CUGUUUCGGCUAGGGGGCCAUCCCGGCUUACCAACCCGAUGCAAACUGCGAAUACCGGAGAAUGUUAUCACGGGAGACACACGGCGGGUGCUAACGUCCGUCGUGAAGAGGGAAACAACCCAGACCGCCAGCUAAGGUCCCAAAGUCAUGGUUAAGUGGGAAACGAUGUGGGAAGGCCCAGACAGCCAGGAUGUUGGCUUAGAAGCAGCCAUCAUUUAAAGAAAGCGUAAUAGCUCACUGGUCGAGUCGGCCUGCGCGGAAGAUGUAACGGGGCUAAACCAUGCACCGAAGCUGCGGCAGCGAACGUAUCACUUAAAGCGAUUCAGCGGGUUACGAUUGACGGAGCGAAGCGACGUCAAAGCGUAUACAAAGUCGAGUCGGUUUAAGGAUACGUUCGUUGGGUAGGGGAGCGUUCUGUAAGCCUGUGAAGGUGGCCUGUGAGGGUUGCUGGAGGUAUCAGAAGUGCGAAUGCUGACAUAAGUAACGAUAAAGCGGGUGAAAAGCCCGCUCGCCGGAAGACCAAGGGUUCCUGUCCAACGUUAAUCGGGGCAGGGUGAGUCGACCCCUAAGGCGAGGCCGAAAGGCGUAGUCGAUGGGAAACGGGUUAAUAUUCCCGUACUUGGUGUUACUG